rnacentral:rRNA from 1 species
GACCUCGGAUCAGGCGUGAAUACC